rnacentral:rRNA from 1 species
CCUACGGGAGGCAGCAGUGGGGGAUAUUGCACAAUGGGGGAAACCCUGAUGCAGCGACGCCGCGUGGGUGAAGAAGCGCCUCGGCGCGUAAAGCCCUGUCAGCAGGGAAGAAAAUGACGGUACGUGAAGAAGAAGCCCCGGCCAACUACGUGCCAGCAGCCGCGGGAAUACGUAGGGGGCAAGCGUUAUCCGGAUUUACGGGGUGUAAAGGGGGCGGAGGCGGCGGUGCAAGCCGGGAGUGAAAGCCCGGGGCCCAACCCGGGGACUGCUCUUGGAACUGGGUGGCUAGAGUGCAGGAGGGGCAGGCGGAAUUCCUGGUGUAGCGGUGAAAUGCGGAGAUAUCAGGAGGAACACCGGUGGCGAAGGCGGCCUGCUGGACUGCAACUGACGUUGAGGCCCGAAAGCGUGGGGAGCAAACAGGAUUAGAUACCCCAGUAGUC